rnacentral:tRNA from 1 species
UCCCUGGUGGCUCAGACAGUAAAGAAUCUGCCUGCAAUGCAGGAGACCCAGGUUCAAUCCUUGGGUCAGGGAA